rnacentral:rRNA from 1 species
GGGCCACGUCACGCCUUGAAGCUGAAAACCUGACUCAGAAAAGCCGCGUGAGUGAUUAACGUGUACGCAUUGUGACUCACUGUCAGUCGGGAAUAAACUCCCGGGUGUAAAUAACACUUGGGCCUGACGGUACCCUCAAAGGAAGCACCGGCUAACUCCGUGCCAGCAGCCGCGGUAAUACGGAGGGUGCAAGCGUUGUUCGGAAUUAUUGGGCGUAAAGCGCGUGUAGGCGGUUGUUUAAGUCUGAUGUGAAAGCCCUGGGCUCAACCCGGGAAGUGCAUUGGAAACUGGGCAACUUGAGUACGGGAGAGGGUAGUGGAAUUCCGAGUGUAGGGGUGAAAUCCGUAGAUAUUCGGAGGAACACCGGUGGCGAAGGCGGCUACCUGGACCGAUACUGACGCUGAGACGCGAAAGCGUGGGGAGCAAACAGGAUUAGAUACCCUGGUAGUCCACGCCGGUAAACGAU